AUGGAUUUUAUAUAUCUAUAUAUCUAUAUAUAUAUCUAUAUAUAUAUAUAUAUAUAUAUAUAUAUAUAUAUAUACACACACACAUAUAUAUAUACACACAUAUAUAUAUA
rnacentral:miRNA from 11 species